rnacentral:tRNA from 1 species
GCACCGUCAGCUUAGUAAGGUCGAGCAACAGGCUUUUAACCUGGAGGACGCGCGUUCAAUUCGCGCACGGUGCACCA